GGGGCUGGUGGGUUAUAAGGCAAGCAGCUUGAGUGCAGUGGAAGAGCCAAGGCCUCCUUACAUCCAAAGGCCUCCCCCGGUGUGCAGUUCCAGCUCCAGGAAGAGUGCUGAGGACCCUGGAGCAGCUCCUAGAAGAGAGAGAGACUCCAGCUCCAACAGGAGUCAGUGGGUGAGGGAAUGGGUGUUUUCUCUUCCCUUUUCUGAAGAAAUAAAGAUGAGAACCAGAA